UCAACUUUUUGAUAUUCUAAUCAUAUGACCAGCACCUGUAUAUCAAGCUUAUGUUGUUCGCUGCGGUCCUCAAAGCACUCAAUUAGUGAUAAGCGUUAGAGCACACAUCCUCUUCUCCUUUCCUGUCCUCCUCCUCACUGCCAUUGAUCACCAGGCCUCACAGGACCCCAGAUGGAAGCAGAGAGAGAGAGAAAAAAAAAUACUAAUUGAAUUCUACCUCAACCUUCCAGGAAGUCCAUUUUGUUUGUGUUUGAUUGAGUGUCUUCAGGAAAGAAAACCGAUGAGUUUUCAGAGUUGCACUCAUAAAGCGGUUACCUCAGCUUCAGGAAUUUAUUAAUCAAAGUACAAAGACACAGUAUGACUGAAAAUAACAUGAAAUCAGACUCAAAGGCUCAAUGCUGCUUGGAAAGACAUGUUCGGAAGGAUGUUGUAAAAAUAAGUGGAAUCUUAAGAACAGAAUAAAAAAUAAAUCAAUCUUGUUUUUACAAUGAAGUGCAGUAUCCAAGGUGCUGUAUAAAAAUACUGCCCAAUGCCAGUUUAUCCAAUAGGAUUUUUACUACCUGGGUUACCAGUUGGUGGAAAAUGCAUCUUAUUGUAGCCAUGGAAGCCAGCAAACAAACUGAGUCAGAGAUUGCAGAUUCUACCCGACUCGAAAAGUCUUGGUAUCCACCUAAAAAGCUCUAUGAGCAGAGAACUUACAGUAUAAGACUCAUCACCUUCUAUUGUCAAUUGACCAUUCGCAAAGACCCGCCCCCCUUGGUUACUGUUGCUAUGUUUGACAAGCCAUGCAUGCUCUCACUCCACACAUCAUGUUCUCAUACAGUCACAAAUACAUCGCAGAUCAAAGAAGGAAGACACACAAGACAGAGCAGGUUACUUUGUCUAUGAAUCAAAGUCACAGCUUUAAAAUAUUAUCUCUUUUUUUUUUUAAUUCAAACAAUAAUACCAGCUUAUGUUUUUUUUUUAAUGCAUCGUUCGUGACAGAUAGCCAUAGCGUUUCAGUUGGCACAAAUGGCACAUGAACCGAUCAUCGCUUACUUUUUACUAUUUACACUAUGAAAUAAAACAUUGAUAAACAUUACAAGGUAUUUUAUUUAAACCGCAGUUUUCAAGUUCAAGUCCAUCGAUGGUAACCAACUCUGCUGUCAAUCAAUUGUACUCAUUCCUUUUUCUUGUCCUCAAUCUGGCAACCAAAAGAACCAAAUCUGAGUUUUGCACAGGUAAGCACCACUUUCAUUGUCUUUAUAAAAUGUGAAAAUCUCGUUUUCUGCUCUGGCGUGUAAUAAACCUGUUCCUGUUGUGUUGAGCCUGUUGGAUUGGACAGAUUUCACACAGAUUUCACCCUAAACCUGCAGCAGCACAUCCUGACAGUAUCUUUUCCCUCUCGUCUCCUGCUUAUUUCUGUAGCUUGAAUUGAGCCAGCGAUGAGAAGAGGGGAAAAAAGAGACACACACACAUUCACACAACAGAGGAAGCAGUGCGCCAGAGUCUGGAGAGAGAGAGAGAGUCGACAGAGCUGAUGAACAACUGAGAUUUUGGAGACUUUCCAAGCUUUCAAGGACUGCAUGGAGAAACAUCGUUCCUGAAAGCACCAAAUAUUCCCUUGAUCUAAGCCCCGGACCCGUUUGAAUCCCGCAGCAGUCCGGCGAGAUGCGGGAGGUUGGCAAUAAUUGGAAAUGGCUCCUCUAGUUUCGGAGACACAAUCAGAUGCGUCUUGCUGCUUCAAAGCGGUCGAUGUUUAAAAAUCCCACACUCACGACCGGGACUACAGCCAGAGGAGCAACUUUUCCCAUUUCUUGACACAAUGAAUCGGCAUGACAUCUCCGGCUAACCUGAGAUGCUGCUGGGAAGUGAAACGCACGAAGCACCUUCAUCCUUGAAGAUCUGAAAAAUGAUGGGAGUCCAGUUCUUACAAAAGGAUGAGAUCCAGCGGUCUAGACAGGCCAAAUUCAAUAAGUACUUUUUCCACACGCUGAAAAUGGCAGAAGAGCGAAAGGAAGGAACUGAUUGGAAAUGUCUGAUUUCCACACUCAGGCUGUAAUUCGAUCUUACACAGAUGAAGAGAAGGAGUUUGAACUUUGCAGCUCGGCUGAUCUGCUCUGCUCGAGAGCUCAUUCCAAUCACGCACGUCUGU